CGGAGAAAGGCAGCUACCGGUUGUGCUGCGGCGGUCUGUAAAACCGUUCCCCUCGUGGUGAACACUGUAGGUUCAACUCCUACUUCUCCGA
rnacentral:tRNA from 1 species